rnacentral:rRNA from 1 species
CACGUAGGGCGCAAGCGUUGUCCGGAAUUAUUGGGCGUAAAGAGCUCGUAGGCGGUCUGUUGCGUCCGCUGUGAAAACUCGGGGCUUAACCCCGAGCCUGCAGUGGAUACGGGCAGACUAGAGGUAGGUAGGGGAGAGUGGAAUUCCCGGUGUAGCGGUGAAAUGCGCAGAUAUCGGGAAGAACACCCGUGGCGAAGGCGGCUCUCUGGGACGGUACUGACGCUGAGACGCGAAAGCGUGGGGAGCGAACAGG